UUUUUGAAUUUUUGAGUUAUCAUUCAUCGACCAACUGACUCUAUUUUUGUGUUCAAAUGACUCAACACCAGAUAUUUUUGACGUCUGCCUUACGGAGAUACAUUUGUGAGGCUAGCCAUGUAAAAUACGCACAUCUAGCUAUCUAUCUAUUUGAUGACACGGCUGUUUCGCUACGGUCAAACCGCGGACAAAAUUAAAAUGGCUUCCACAAUUUUUUUUGAAAUUUUGUAUUUUUAUCAUUUUUUAAGUUUUUGAAACUUUUUUUGUAUUGUUUUAAUUUUAUUGAAAUAAAAAGUAUUAAAACGACCUACUUUUCUACUUUUUUAAUAUAUAAAUAUGUUAUACAUGUGUGUUAUGGAUUUCGAGUUAUUUCGUCGAAUAAAACACACAAAAUUAAAAAAAACAUUAUUUUUGGCGAAAGUAUACCAUCUUUCCAACCUCGUGGCAACGCCGCGCUACUAGCUACGGACUUGACAGUUGGUAUGGGGGGCCUGGAAACAAGGUUCUAUCGCCCAGUACCGUGCACCGUUCGUCUCACAAACUAUAAACUACUUAAAUUUUAAGUUAAAGUCUUCUUCAGGCGCUAAAAAAGAGAAGAAAAAGUUUCCAAAGUGGUGCACGGGAAUUUGGUUAGUGUGAUCCCUUUUCUGUCUAAUUAAAUAAGUAUCUAAACUUCUAAGAGAGUCAUAGCGAUGCCAUUUAAUGUUUUGUUAGGUAUGGUUUUUCUCAAAAAAAUUACGGCGGCGUGGUGUUUACCUUGGACUUGAUUGCUCGACCCGGGAAUCCUGGUUCGAAACCGGAAUUUUUCGAAAAUGUUGGAAUAAGCGAGACAACGGUGUCUUUGCAAUUUUUUAGCUAGCUAAAGUUUGGCAGAGCACGAGUUAAGACUUUGGUGGGCUUUCUCAAGAUGAAAUUGUUGAAUUCAAAGAUGUUUUUAGCUACCUAGCUAGCUAAUCUUGGCUUUAACACAAGAUUGGGUGCUAUUUUAUACAGUUUAUAAAGAAACACAAAAUGAUUGCUUUGUAUAUAUAUAAUAAAUAAAAUAUUUAUGCACAACUUGAGGUAUUUUCUUCUAGCAUGAUAAACUAAAAUGUUGAAACCGUCGACUCUGAAUGAUGUUUUAUUUAAUAUAUAGAUGUCACAUAUUUGGCCUGAAAAACCUUAGGACCAAAAGUGACCCUUUGGACAAUUUCGGACAGUUUAAUAUUUCAUCUACAUCAUCUUUAAUGGCCUCAGAAUCCAAAGUAAUGUCUUUUAUUUAGUUAAUAAACAAACUUUAAGCAUACAUUAAGGCUCCAUAGGCUGUUUUUCACAUAUUUCACACAUUUGGCCCAAAAAUAACCCUUUGGACAAUUUCGGACAGACUAAUAUUUCAUCUACAUCAUCCUUAAUGGUCUUAGAAUCCAAAGCAAUGUUUUUUAUUCAGUUAAUAAAUAAACUUUAAGCAUAUAUUAA